rnacentral:tRNA from 1 species
CGGGGUAUAGUUAAGGCAAUAACAAGGGACUGUCAAACCCUAAUCGCCGAUAAAUUUGGCUACCCCCA